rnacentral:tmRNA from 1 species
GGGGAUGUAAUGGUCUCGACGGGUAUGGAUGGUGCGUGAAUAGCGAGCCGGGGGGUCAUCAACCCGUCAGUAAGGUGAACACUUUUAUUUAAAUAUAAAAGCUAACGAAGAAUACGCUUUAGCCGCUUGAGGCUAACCCCUGUCCGCUUUUUUCCCGCGGAGGCAGAUAAGGGGACAACAGCGGGAUACCUGAGGGCCAAUUCUCGGAGGCUCGAAUGGGAACUCUCAUCGAGAUCGGAACGAUGGCGGUUGCUUGUGGCUGCCUGAAUUCUUAAAUUUAACCAUAAGCUGCGCUCGGAGAAGUUCAUGAAACACUAUGCUCGGACAGGAGUUCGAUUCUCCUCAUCUCCACCA